rnacentral:rRNA from 1 species
CGAGAUCUAGCCUGCCAGUGAUUCAAUUCAACGGCCGCGGUAUUCUAACCGUGCUAAGGUAGCGUAAUCAUUUGUCCUUUAAAUGCGGACCAGUAUGAAUGGCAUCACGAAGGUUAUACUGUCUCCUUUUUCUAAUCAGUGAAACUAAUCUCCCCGUGAAGAAGCGGGGAUAGCCCUAUAAGACGAGAAGACCCUAUGGAGCUUUAAACUAAGCAACAAAUGCUCUAUUUUAUUAAAUCUUAGAUUUAUUAACAUUUAUUUAGCUUAAUGUCUGCCAGUUUUAGGUUGGGGUGACCGCGGAGUAAAAAAUAACCUCCACAUUGAACAGAGCCUAGCUUCUGAGCCACGAACUACAACUCUAAGCACCAAUUUACUGACAUAAAUUGACCCAAUAUAUUGAUCAACGAACCAAGUUACCCUAGGGAUAACAGCGCAAUCCGCUUCAAGAGCCCCUAUCGACAAGCGGGUUUACGACCUCGAUGUUGGAUCAGGGUGUCCCAGUGGUGUAGCCGCUACUAAAGGU